rnacentral:lncRNA from 1 species
AGCAUGCAGAAUUAUGUUUGUGGCACUGUUUGUACAUCAGUCAUCCCAAGUGAAAAACGGAUACAGUCUGUCCUAACUGCAUCAGCAAAAGCUGAUUCCUGAGUCCCGAUGUGAGCCAGCUCAGCCUGGGCAGCUCCCCAUGGUGCUGCUCAUAUCAGUUUCUUGCUGCUGCUUCUCCCAGCAGGUGUGGUUUACAAUCUCACUCAUACAACACUUGUCAGUCAGUUUCUUCUGAGGACCUGCUGAGGGUUUUUAAGGCUCUGUUUCCCUGGGGGGUGAGGCUCUUUACCUUUCUUCAAUUCGUAGGGUAGGCUAAGGAUAUGCUGAUUUUCAUGGGGGUGAAUUGAUCUCCUUUUGUAAAACCAGCCCUCGUUCUGCAGCUCUAAGGUUUGUGUUCAUAGAGACUUACCCAAAUUGAUUCAUUAUAGGGUGGAAGCUAAUGUUUUUGAAAAACGUAUAGUUCUUAGUAGCCAUCCAUUUAUUUGUCAUCUUGUACAUGGGUCAUAUUUCUCCAUUACUUUGAUAAGCUUUACUAGCUGUCUGGAUUUUCUCCACAAUGUACACAUUUUAUUACUGAAGCUCACUCUGACCAGCUAAGUCUCCUGCUCUGGAAGCCUGCUGGAAGAUUCUCCCUUCCUGCCACAGAAACAUACUGCUUUCAGUCAGCUGCUCCACAGCAACUGCUGGCAUUUAGGCCUAUAGCAUGUGUACCUACAUGUGUUGUUGGAUAAGGGCUGGCGUACAGUUACAACAAAGCAGCUGACAUCAUACAGUAACUUGCUUCUGUCAAUAAAGGAGCUGCCCACAACUUUCUACUUUUUCUGCAGCAUUCUGUAAACCAAGUGCAUGAUAGGCUGUGCUCUCCCACGAAGAAGGUAGGGAAGGGCUAAGGAAUGUGCAAAGCAAGCGAUGUGGAGAUUAGACAGGGAUAUAUGCAGGGAUUCUGGGUUGAAAAAAACCAAAACAACAGCUCUUGAGAAAGGAAAUACUUCUAUUAAAUCAGCAUCAGUACUACCACAUCUGUAAGGUUGUUUAUCCUAUAAAUUGCAAGAACAACAACAACAACAAAUUAAGGGGUGGAAAAAAAUGAUUUGGCAGUGUGAGGUGGAUAAAUGAGGUCAGGUUUUUUUUUCAUGUAUUUCCACUUAGUGCUUUGGAGAUCCACUUGAGAAGGGAGAGCUCAAGAGCAAUAAAAGUAAGGCCAAGGAUGUGUGGCAGAUCUCAGCGAGCAAGUGCUUAUGAACAAACUCAUAUUUGAUGAAGGAUAUUAAUCAAUUAAAUCAUGGUGCGUUACAUGGAAUUCAGAGAGCUGGAAAAUAGACUCAGUUUGUGUGUUACAUGGAAUUCAGAAAAUAGACUCAGUUUUUAUACUGCUGACUUCUUUAGGAAUAUUCAUGCUGUGUAUUUUUGGGACGUCUCAUUUCUUCUGCUAACUGGGCUCAAGGAGAUGUUCUCAUCUGGUGAGUUAUCUACAACAAUAUAAAUGCUAAAAUCGAAAGAGCAAUAAAGCUUGAAAUGUGGACCACAUAGGUAAGAGAUAUGACUAAUACUGAAUUUUCUAGGCCGUAUAUGUUUAUAAGCAUGCUUAGAAGACAAACACACGCUAGGUUUCUAAUUACAGAAAGAGGUAGUACUUAAAAAAAAAAAAGACUUACUUCCAUUGACCCCGUUCAUUGCAUCGCACUCCAUUCCACCAGAUCUCUGGGAAUCUGAAAAUAAUGAUUCAAGUCGAGUCACUGCUUUCUCCAAUCUCUCCAUCAAGCCAUGAUUCUCUGCCAUUCUGUUUUGAUGACCCGCGCAGCCCCCUUUUUUUUUUUUUUUUUUUCUCCUUCUCUCUGCAAUGACAAUCCGUGGCCGGCCACUCGCUCCCCCCUCCCUCGCCUCGCCUCUCCUCGCCGUCGCUCUCCCUCCUCCUUCUUCUCCUCCUCCUCCUCCUCCUCAGCGGGAGCCGGUGUCAGUCAGUCACAUCAGCUGCCCGAGCAGGCAGGGAGAGAAAUGCCCGGCGGCUUCCGGGAGUGCCAAAUAAAGACAAGUCCAGAAAGAGAGAGAGACAGUGACAGAGAUGGAGAAAGAAAGCAAAAAGUGGGUGGAGUGUGAAAAUGGAAGGAGAGGGAAAGGCUGAGGUGUCUCUUGGCGGUGACGGCAGCGCGGUGCCGGAGAGGAAAUGGCAGCCGUGCGGCAUCGCGGAGGAGCGGGCAGCUGCCGGGCUGGGAGGGCAUGGGCACGCCGGGCAGGGGCACCCAUGGCCACAGGUGUGGUGGCCCCACUUGCCUGCUGAGCACGGCUUGGGUGAGCAGGAAGCGGGUGCGCCGUGCGCUGGGAAAGGGGAGCGGGACGGUGUGGGAAGUGCGUGCAGGCAGACCACUCGCGUGGCUGGGGGGCCCAAAGGCGUGCUCCAGGCAGCCUGCUGCCUUCUGCAAAGCAGUCAAUUGUAACAGCCUGAGCUCCGCGACAGCUGUGUCUGCAGUGGGGUGGCUGCCGUACGGUGAGGAAAGCAGGACUUCUCCCUGUAGGCAAACCCGCAUGCCUAGGCCUUGUGAGUCAGGCUCUGCGGGCUUCGCACUAGUCCCUACCCCCUGUGACCACAUGGUUUCUGCAGUUGUGUAGUGCUCAUCGCCACGUGGUCCCAAAGGUGUGCGAUCACUCACCUGAAAUCUACUUCCCCUCCAGGUAUUUCUGAGCUGACUUUCUGCACAGAAGUCUUGGGGGAAGAGCACACGAGUUCAUAGCCUUUAAUGGAACAGUUUGCUCUUGAAAUGGAAUAGGAGUCAUUAGUCAGUCAUUAAAAUAUGAUCGCAAGCAUUAUUCCAGGUCAGCCAUGUGGCUGUGCAAAAACUGGUGGCAAAUUUCUCUGUCAAAUACGUAGCUUAUUUUAGAAGACUUUGUGUUUCACUUCUGAGGGUUUGACAACGCUGUAAAAUAUGAAGUAGAAAUAUUUGUCUGAAUUAUGCAGUUCUUAAAUGGGGACUGAGGAAAACUGUAUUUUAACAAAGAUACCAUAGCUGCAGCAGACCUUAGUAUGUCUGUACAGAAAUGAGAUGAGGAAACAGCAAUAAGCAAAAGCAAGCUGGCUGCAGAGAUCAGCCUAGGAUCACAACACUGCUGUGGACAACACUAUUAUCAUCGGAAGUUGCAAGAAGUCAGUGCUGCAGCUUCCUGUAGACAAUGAAUGGAACAACGGAUGAAAUCAACAGAACAGCUGUUUUUAAACAAGAGUCUUGGCAAACUUUCCAAGCAGGAAAAAAAGUAGUAUGAAACUGAACACCUGGUUGCAAAAAUGCACAGAACACCGACACUGCUUAAGAUAAGCAAGAAACAAGCCUAGAAGAUCUUCUUCUGGAAACGAAACACGAAAAGAUUAACAAACUGUGGAAUAACUAAAUGAAAGCUCCAGAUCCAUAUUCCAUACUACAGAGAGAAAAAACAUCCCAAUACUUUUGCAGUGUCAGUGGGAUAAAUGGAAAUUUUGGGAUGGUAAAUGCCCUCUGAUUUCUUCAAUUUAAUUUGAGGAAAAUGUGAUGUCAUUAACUUAUGAAAUAUUUUGCAAGCUCUUAUUGUAAGAGCACAGUUAAGCACUCCACAUCACUUUUUUACAUCGCAGGCAUGUAAAAACGAGGGGAAGACAGUUGGGCAUUUUCUUUGCAUGGAACAGUUUACAAGGCUACCAGGCUGGCAGAUACCUUGCAUGUCUGAAAUAAAUUCCCUGUAACAUGUCUUCCUUCCUGACUUCUUCUAAUGCUUUCUUCAAGCAUAGAAGCUACAUAAAACAAUCAAAUUCUUUUGCUCUUUUCCCCAGGAGGAUAUUGGCAAACAUCAAAGGCUAAGACAUAGGUAAGGAGGACACAAGAAGUGAUAAAUUUAGCUAGAAGGGAGAAACAGGAGCUUCUGUAAUUCUAAAGUGACCUCGUAAUAAAGAGGAGACCCAGUGGCAAGUAGAGAUGUAAGAUGUAGCUCCUGAAAACAUGAUAUUAGAGGAGAAAAUCUUGCCCACUUUGGUUGCUACAUAAAUGAAGACAUUCUAAAAAGGCAGUUUUAUAAAGAAUUUCAUAGUAUUAACUCAAGCCUAGCAACAGCCCCCUGCAGGGAAGAAAAGAAUGAGAGAGAUGCAAAUUUUGGACUUUGCAAAGUAUUGAGUAGAUGACACACUAUUGUUCUAACCCAUCCAGAAGAAAAAAAAAAACAAAAAACGAAGGCUUGGACUGCAAUAAAAAUGUGUUUUGAAACUGCUUGGCAUUGACAUCAAGUGAAACACUGAGCGAGGAAAGCCU